UUCAAAUAGCAAUCAUGAAGAGCCACAUAGGUCUCCACAAAAUUUCCUGUUGCACCCGCAUACAGGUGAUCACCAAUUUAUUUCUCUCCCUCUCCUCAUUCCUUCUUUCGCUGCCUCUCCCUCCCCCAUCUGCAAUCGAGCUUCGACGCCCAAAAAAAAAAAAAAAAUCCCUCCCCCAUCUACGCCCUCUCUCUCACAGCAAACUUCCUCUCUCUUCAAGCCCAAUCUCCCUUGGCCAUCCAAGUCUGUCUCUGUGUUCACAUUCGGCUAAUUAUUCCCAUCACCGCAAAACAGUGAUAGUAAAGGGACUGAAUGGAGCAAUAAGUGCUUGCAUAUAAAGCCCAAAAAUCAUAUGGUUCAAACUGAUUCAGAAGCAAAAAAAGUGGGAGGGUAGCUUCUACUAUGGCUCUUGAACUUUAUUUUCUUCUUCGUUCCAAUCUUCAUUUUAAAACAAACAUCUCCCGGCAUUGUUGGCUUUCUUUGGAGGAUUGUAUUUGUAAAUAUGGACUGGAUUUGAGGGGAGAGAGAGAGAGAGUAUGAGGAGACAAUUCAACUUGAGAGUGACGAGGGGAAGAGAGAGUAUGAAAGGACAGGCUUGACAGUUGAUAAAGGCUGAGCUACGAGAUCCUGUUGUGAAAGCGAUGGCAGCAAGCAAAGAGUUUGAUGAUCUUGACCAAAUUGAAGAAGAGGAAGAUGCUGAAAGAGAAUGCCAGGAGGGAGAAAGGAGACACCAAGAAGAAAUUGAGAAGCUUGAAAAAGGUGGCUCACGCUAAUUGCUUCUUAAGAUGUUGUUCCAGCCUGUCCAUCCUGUUCUGUUUAUUUCACGACAAGAGCUUUUGAAAGAAUUAUUGAGGUUUAGACUGGCUCAGGCAAAUGAUAUCAGGUGCCUCGCAUCUAUAUCAAAGUUGUAUUAUACUCAUAUGUAUCGGAGAGGAGAGGAAGAGGUUUAUGGGGGGAAGAAGGGUUACCGGGGGGAGAAGAGGAAAGAGAGGAGAAAAGAGGGAAAAGAGGGGUUUACCUGGAUCUGUGCUUAUUUUAAUCUCUAUAAGCUGCCGACGUGUUUAUUUUUUGCUGGUGGGUGUGAAAAUGAAAGUUCCACCCGAUCGAGCUCAAGGUUUGGAAAAAAUAUAGUUGUAAACACAAUUAUGUAUUAAUCUGUGCACUGAUGUGA